rnacentral:rRNA from 1 species
UGCCAGCAGCCGCGGUAAUACAGAGGGUGCGAGCGUUAAUCGGAAUUACUGGGCGUAAAGGGCGUGUAGGCGGAUAUUCAAGUCAGAUGUGAAAUACCUGGGCUCAACCGAGGAAGGUCAUUUGAAACUGAAUAUCUAGAGUGCAGUAGAGGGGAGUGGAAUUUCCGGUGUAGCGGUGAAAUGCGUAGAUAUCGGAAGGAACACCAGUGGCGAAGGCGGCUCCCUGGACUGACACUGACGCUGAGGCGCGAAAGCGUGGGUAGCAAACAGGAUUAGAUA